rnacentral:rRNA from 1 species
UACGUAGGGUGCGAGCGUUGUUCGGAUUUACGGGGCGUAAAGGGCGCGUAGGCGGCCACCGCAAGUCAAUUAUGAAAUCUCCGGGCUUAACUCGGAAAGGUCAACUGAUACUGCGGGGCUAGAGUGCGGAAGGGGCAACUGGAAUUCUCGGUGUAGCGGUGAAAUGCGUAGAUAUCGAGAGGAACACCUGCGGCGAAGGCGGGUUGCUGGGCCGACACUGACGCUGAUGCGCGAAAGCCAGGGGAGCGAACGGG